UACGUAGGGGGCAAGCGUUGUCCGGAAUCAUUGGGCGUAAAGCGCGUGUAGGCGGCUCGACAAGUCCGCUGUGAAAGUCCAGGGCUCAACCCUGGGAUGCCGGUGGAAUGACGUGUCGAGCUUGAGUCCGGGAAGAGGCGGAGUGGAAAUUCCUGGUGUAGCGGUGGAAAUGCGCAGAUAUCAGGAGGAACACCAAUGGCGGAGGCGCUCGCUGGGACGUGACUGACGACUGGAGACGCGAAAGCGUGGGGAGCAAACAGG
rnacentral:rRNA from 1 species